CUCCUACGGGAGGCAGCAGUGGGGAAUAUUGCACAAUGGGCGGAAGCCUGAUGCAGCAACGCCGCGUGAGGGAUGACGGCCUUCGGGUUGUAAACCUCUUUUAGCAGGGAAGAAGCGAAAGUGACGGUACCUGCAGAAAAAGCACCGGCUAACUACGUGCCAGCAGCCGCGGUAAUACGUAGGGUGCAAGCGUUAUCCGGAAUUAUUGGGCGUAAAGAGCUCGUAGGCGGUUUGUCGCGUCUGCUGUGAAAUCCCGAGGCUCAACCUCGGGCCUGCAGUGGGUACGGGCAGACUAGAGUGCGGUAGGGGAGAUUGGAAUUCCUGGUGUAGCGGUGGAAUGCGCAGAUAUCAGGAGGAACACCGAUGGCGAAGGCAGAUCUCUGGGCCGUAACUGACGCUGAGGAGCGGAAGGGUGGGGAGCAAACAGGCUUAGAUACCCUGGUAGUCCACCCCGUAAACGUUGGGAACUAGUUGUGGGGUCCUUUCCACGGAUUCCGUGACGCAGCUAACGCAUUAAGUCCCCGCC
rnacentral:rRNA from 1 species